CCAAGCCGACGUCUUGACCUCAUCAAAGAAGUCUCCCUCAAGGACCGCGAGCUCAGGAUUGUGGGCGAGGUCGGUGCCAAGAUCCGAGUCUUAGACUUCAUUUCUCCCGAUGUCCAGGUUCUAAAUUUAAUGGUUUAAAAACCCGAAUUGAAGACGUAGCUGGAAGAAGAAGAAGAGGGCGUGUAGUACUAAGGAAAAGAAAGCUGAGAAGGACACAAUUGUUUGUUACUCAAAAGGCGCUUGUAUCCUAAUUAUUUGGCGAGUUCUAUAUAAAGGGAAAAAAAUGAGCGAACGCGAUGGUCUUGAAGUUGUUAGAAAUCCAAAGAGGCCUAUCGGCGCUUGGAUACAUUACUAUAACGAUCAAUUAGCCAUGAUGAAAGAGAAGGAUAAAGGAGU